rnacentral:rRNA from 1 species
GACGAACGCUGGCGGCGUGCCUAAUACAUGCAAGUCGAACGCAGUGGGGACGGGUGAGUAACACGUGGGUAAUCUCCCAGCAGAGGGGAUAACACUUGGAAACAGGUGCUAAACCGAUACUGAUGGAUGAACCCGCGGUGCAUUAGCUAGUUGGUGAGGUAACGGCUCACCAAGGCCACGAUGCAUAGCGGGUCUGAGAGGGUGAUCGGCCACACUGGAACUGAGACACGGCCCAGACUCCUACGGGAGGCAGCAGUAGGGAAUAUUCGGCAAUGGGCGAAAGUCUGACCGAGCAACGCCGCGUGAGUGAAGAAGGUUUUCGGAUCGUAAAGCUCUGUUGUUAGAGAGGCGGUAUCUAACCAGAAAGCCCCGGCUAACUACGUGCCAGCAGCCGCGGUAAUUC